rnacentral:rRNA from 1 species
CAGGUCAGGCGGGACUACCCGCUGAGUUUAAGCAUAUCAAUAAGGCGGAGGAAA